rnacentral:lncRNA from 1 species
ACUGACGCGGAACUGCGUGGACCGUGCUUCCGGAUGUUAGUCACGAUAACAUGAUAACGUACCAUCUCGGUGGCUUACUGAGUGAUUAUGGCUUACAACUGCGUCAAUCAUGUCGACAUUCUCUCCCAAUGCAACCCUCAUGCCCCCGUCCUCAAAGAACGUAUGGAGGCAUUCCAGUUAUGUUCAAAGACUAGCAGGUCAAUUCGGUGUAUCCGCCCAUGUCAGGGGCUUCAAACAAACACUGUAGACACGAGUACGCCACAGGUUCCUGUAGCCGGCCACUGCAGAAACGAGCCGUUUGCUGACGCCGAGGACGCGGGGAUGCGUCGACUGGCAUGCAUCAUCAGUUUGCCAAUCAGAUCCUUUGUGUAUAUGCUCUAUUUAGGCG